AUUACCCGCUGAACUUAAGCAUAUCAAUAAGCGGAGGAAAAGAAACUAACAAGGAUUCCCCUAGUAACGGCGAGUGAAGUGGGAAAAGCUCAACUUUGAAAUCUGGCUGCUUUGCAGUCCGAGUUGUAGUCUCGAGAAGUGUUUUCCGUGUUGAACCGUGUAUGAGUCUGUUGGAAUACAGCGUCAUAGAGGGUGAGAACCCCGUUCAUGACACGGCUUUCAAUACUUUGUGAUACACUUUCGAUGAGUCGAGUUGUUUGGGAAUGCAGCUCAAAAUGGGUGGUAAAUUCCAUCUAAAGCUAAAUAUUGGCGAGAGACCGAUAGCAAACAAGUACCGUGAGGGAAAGAUGAAAAGCACUUUGGAAAGAGAGUUAAAAGUACGUGAAAUUGUCGAAAGGGAAACGCUUGAAGUCAGACGUGCACGGUACUCGUUACCACUGCAGGCCAACAUCGGUUUUACGAGCCGGAUAAAGGUAGAGAGAAGGUAGCAGUCUCGGCUGUGUUAUAGCUCUCUACUGAAUACGGAUUGAAAGACCGAGGGACGCAGCGCGCCGCAAGGCAAAGAGUUCGCUCUUUUCGCGCUUAGGAUGUUGGUGAAAUGGCUUUAAACGACCC
rnacentral:rRNA from 1 species